rnacentral:lncRNA from 1 species
CCGAGCGGGGCGGGGGCCGGCCGGGGAGAGGCACGACCCCGCCGAGCGGCCUCCAGACGACGGAAAGUUUCCGCGCGCCGCCCCUGCAGCGCCCUUCCCGCGCCGGCUCCCUGUGGUCCACGUGUCUCUGUUGCUAUGCAAUUCCAGAAAAUGAGAUUGCUGAAUUGAGCACCACGUGAUGUGGUGUACAGCCAGAGCCCAGCCUGCUGCUGGUCAGAGCUCAGAGGUCAAAGGUGGAACCUGACAGCAAGCUGGUGCCAGAGAAAUGAGGACACAUGAGAACUUGGCCUGCUGCGAAUCCAUCAGGGAAGAAGAGCCACACCCAAACAGUGCUGAUUCAGAGAGCUGUGAUAACACGAGGGAGUCGUGUCAACCUUGUCUCAUGCACCAGCUGAACUCAGUGACACUAGCAGCUUGGAUCCCGACAGAUGGGGUGUUAUUACUGAACCACCGGGGAGGCUGCCCAGGGCCGGACCACGCUGCUCCGAAGGCACUUUGACCUGAGUGAAGACAGCAGACACACCUCGAGUUGGAAUCCCAGCCAGUGUCAGGGACCCCGUAGUUCUCAAACGUCAGCCCGUGUCUCAGUCACCUGCAAGACUUGUUACAACAUAGAGUUUUAUAACCACCUACCCCCCCAGAGACUCUGAUUCAGUCGGUCUGGUGCAGGGACAGUGAUUUUGCAUUUCUAGUGAGUUCCUAAGUGGUUCCUAGCUGGUUGGGAGAUCACACUUGGAGAACUGUGAACCUGCUCCAGAGCCUUGACUUCUAAAGCUCUUCCUCUCCAGGUCUUCUGUGCCUGAGGGACUUCAGAGUUGGGGAGAAAAGUGAAUGGAAGCCAAAAGAUGGACACAACCCAAAUGCCCAUCGGCGGGCGAAUGGAUAAACAAUGUGGUCUGUCCAUACAGUGGAACACUAGUCAGCCACGAAAAGGAAUGAGGUACUGACACACGCUACCACUUGGAGGACCCGUGGGCCACACGGUGCAUGAUCCCAGUGAUCUGCGCUGCCCAGAAUAAGCGAAUUUAAAGGUGGUUGCCAGGAGGUAGGAGGCAAUGAGGAGCCAUGGCUUAUUGGUUUCCAUUUGGGAUGAUGCAAACGUUGUGGAACUGGACAGAGAUGAUAGUCGGACAACACUGUGAAUGUACUUACUGCAACCGAAUGGUACACUUGAAAAUGAUGAAAAUGGCGAAUUUUGUGUCAUAUGUAUUUUACUGCAAUAAAAAGUAAAGAGAGUGAAUGGAGUGCUCUUCU